GCAGUGGUGGUUCAGUGGUAGAAUUCUUGCCUUUAGCACUGGCGACCUGGGUUCGAUUACUGGCCAAUGUA
rnacentral:tRNA from 1 species